rnacentral:misc_RNA from 1 species
UUCAAAAAAAAAAAAAAGAAUAAAUAAAAGAUUAGCAUCACCUUGGUUGAAAUCAUUACAAAAGAAAUUUUUGUUCAUAAACAAGUUAUCCAUUAUCCAACAAACAAUAAUUGAAAAUUUCUUUCCUUUUCCGUCUAAACCUUCAAUCUACUCGCUCGAGUGCUUCCCCAUGGAAAAACUAUAAUCCACUUCAAUCAAGGUUUUCUUCUUCUUGGAUGUUUUGGAAAUAAUUUUUCUGACCAACAUUGUUUUGAAGCUUAAAUGGAUGAGAGUGGAGAGAAAAAAAAAUGGAGAGAAAGAAAGAUGGGUACCAUACUAACAUUAGCUUCAAUGGUAGUAUUUUAGUCAAAGUCAAAUAGAAAGUGUAAAAUAUGAGCAAAAUAAAGGCCAAAUUAGUGUGUUAGUUAUGAAAACAAAAAUUGAGGAGACGAUGGUCAAAAUAAGCUUAGGGUGUCACCAGACUUUCAGCGUAAAAUCCACGCGCCAAUUUAUAUAUUCAGCCAAGGCCCGAGGAUAUAAUUCUAAUUUUCACAUGAUACCGGAACAACUAUAUAUAACAUUUGCAAUCUCCCAAUGUUUCACUUUUUUGUAGUCCCUUUUGUGCAAAUAAUGCUCAAGUAUGGAUCUCUUCAAGGAUUUACUUUAAGGAAACAAAGUAAAUGUCAUCAUUAGAAAGGGACAAGAGUGACAUAUUUAUGUCACAACAGUGCCCCUUUUCCCAUGCCAACAAUCUAAAAUGAUAGCCAUGAACUGAAUAUAUUUUAAUUCGGCACUGACCAAAAGAGAAAAUGAGGAACCAUUCAGAGGAUGAGAGCUAGUGGCAAAACAAUGCACUUGAAUGAUCCUGAUCUGUAAUCUAAUCAUUUCACUUGGGGAAACUAGAGAACAUCUUUUAAAGGAUAAUAGCACAACUAGCUGGAUGCUCAUUGUAGUUAUUAGCAACUAAAAGAGAAAGCAUGUGUGAUGAUAAUGGCCAAGUUAAAUUUUAGGAUGGAUGAACUUAUCUAUUACCAAAGUUUAGAUAAAAUGGUAAUCACAAAUGGGAAAAACUUACAAGCUCAACAAGCUAACAAAUCAAUGAUCAAUGUGUUUUCUCACCCACCACAGCCAAUUAAGUCCCCUUUCAACCAAAUUGAAAGACAAUGGAACUUUUGUUAUGGGA